rnacentral:rRNA from 1 species
GACCAACGCUGGCGGCGUGCUUAACACAUGCAAGUCGAACGGAAAGGCCCUGCUUUUGUGGGGUGCUCGAGUGGCGAACGGGUGAGUAACACGUGAGUAACCUGCCCUUGACUUUGGGAUAACUUCAGGAAACUGGGGCUAAUACCGGAUAGGAGCUCCUGCUGCAUGGGGGGGGUUGGAAAGUUUCGGCGGUUGGGGAUGGACUCGCGGCUUAUCAGCUUGUUGGUGGGGUAGUGGCUUACCAAGGCUUUGACGGGUAGCCGGCCUGAGAGGGUGACCGGCCACAUUGGGACUGGAAUACGGCCCAGCCUCCUACGGGAGGCAGCAGUGGGGAUUAUUGCACAAUGGGCGGAGGCCUGAUGCAGCAACGCCGCGUGCGGGAUGACGGCCUUCGGGUUGUAAACCGCUUUCGCCUGUGACGAAGCGUGAGUGACGGUAAUGGGUAAAGAAGCACCGGCUAACUACGUG